GUAGGUGAACCUGCGGAAGGAUCAUUUUUGAUUUGAACCCUUCAACACAUUGUGAACCGUGGCUCCGGCCCAAACUUGAAUGUAAUGAAUGUAUAAAACACAAACAAAAUAUAACUUUUAACAACGGAUCUCUUGGCUCUC
rnacentral:misc_RNA from 1 species